UACGUAGGGGGCAAGCGUUGUCCGGAUUUAUUGGGCGUAAAGCGCGUGUAGGCGGCCAGGUAGGUCCGCUGUGAAAACCCGAGGCUCAACCUCGGGACGUCGGCGGAAACCAUUUGGCUAGAGUCCGGAAGAGGAGAGUGGAAUUCCCGGUGUAGCGGUGAAAUGCGCAGAUAUCGGGAAGAACACCCGUGGCGAAGGCGGCUCACUGGUCCGGUACUGACGCUGAGGUGCGAAAGCGUGGGGAGCAAACAGG
rnacentral:rRNA from 1 species